rnacentral:rRNA from 1 species
UACGUAGGGGGCUAGCGUUGUCCGGAAUCAUUGGGCGUAAAGAGCGUGUAGGCGGUCCGGUAAGUCCGCUGUGAAAGUCGGGGGCUCAACCCUCGAAUGCCGGUGGAUACUGUCGGGCUAGAGUGCGGAAGAGGCGAGUGGAAUUCCUGGUGUAGCGGUGAAAUGCGCAGAUAUCAGGAGGAACACCGGUGGCGAAGGCGGGAUCCUGGGCCAGUACUGACGCGUGAGGAG